AGGUAUUGUAUGUACAGACAGGAAGGUAUGGUAUGUACAGACAGGAAGGUAUUGUAUGUACAGACAGGAAGGUAUGGUAUGUACAGACAGGAAUGUAUUGUAUGUACAGACAGGAAGGUAUGGUAUUUACA